rnacentral:rRNA from 1 species
AUACGGAGGGGGCUAGCGUUGUUCGGAAUUACUGGGCGUAAAGCGCGUGUAGGCGGAUCGUUAAGUCAGGGGUGAAAGCCCGGGGCUCAACCCCGGAACUGCCCUUGAUACUGGCGAUCUAGAGUCCGGAAGAGGUGGGCGGAAUUCCCGGUGUAGAGGUGAAAUUCGUAGAUAUCGGGAGGAACACCAGUGGCGAAGGCGGCUCACUGGUCCGGCACUGACGCCGAGACGCGAAAGCGUGGGGAGCAAACAGGAUUAGAUACCCUAGUAGUCC